rnacentral:rRNA from 1 species
UACGUAGGUGGCAAGCGUUGUCCGGAUUUACUGGGCGUAAAGAGCGUGUAGGCGGCUUGGUAGGUCCGCUGUGAAAACUCGAGGCUCAACCUCGAGAUGUCGGCGGAAACCACUUGGCUAGAGUCCGGAAGAGGAGAGUGGAAUUCCCGGUGUAGCGGUGAAAUGCGCAGAUAUCGGGAAGAACACCUAUGGCGAAGGCAGCUCUCUGGGACGGUACUGACGCUGAGACGCGAAAGCGUGGGGAGCGAACAGG